AAAUUGAAGAGUUUGAUCAUGGCUCAGAUUGAACGCUGGCGGCAGGCCUAACACAUGCAAGUCGAACGGUAGCACAGAGAGCUUGCUCUCGGGUGACGAGUGGCGGACGGGUGAGUAAUGUCUGGGAAACUGCCUGAUGGAGGGGGAUAACUACUGGAAACGGUGGCUAAUACCGCAUAAUGUCGCAAGACCAAAGAGGGGGACCUUCGGGCCUCUUGCCAUCAGAUGUGCCCAGAUGGGAUUAGCUAGUUGGUGAGGUAACGGCUCACCAAGGCGACGAUCCCUAGCUGGUCUGAGAGGAUGACCAGCCACACUGGAACUGAGACACGGUCCAGACUCCUACGGGAGGCAGCAGUGGGGAAUAUUGCACAAUGGGCGCAAGCCUGAUGCAGCCAUGCCGCGUGUAUGAAGAAGGCCUUCGGGUUGUAAAGUACUUUCAGCGGGGAGGAAGGUGUUGUGGUUAAUAACCUCAGCAAUUGACGUUACCCGCAGAAGAAGCACCGGCUAACUCCGUGCCAGCAGCCGCGGUAAUACGGAGGGUGCAAGCGUUAAUCGGAAUUACUGGGCGUAAAGCGCACGCAGGCGGUCUGUCAAGUCGGAUGUGAAAUCCCCGGGCUCAACCUGGGAACUGCAUUCGAAACUGGCAGGCUUGAGUCUUGUAGAGGGGGGUAGAAUUCCAGGUGUAGCGGUGAAAUGCGUAGAGAUCUGGAGGAAUACCGGUGGCGAAGGCGGCCCCCUGGACAAAGACUGACGCUCAGGUGCGAAAGCGUGGGGAGCAAACAGGAUUAGAUACCCUGGUAGUCCACGCCGUAAACGAUGUCUACUUGGAGGUUGUGCCCUUGAGGCGUGGCUUCCGGAGCUAACGCGUUAAGUAGACCGCCUGGGGAGUACGGCCGCAAGGUUAAAACUCAAAUGAAUUGACGGGGGCCCGCACAAGCGGUGGAGCAUGUGGUUUAAUUCGAUGCAACGCGAAGAACCUUACCUGGUCUUGACAUCCACGGAAGUUUUCAGAGAUGAGAAUGUGCCUUCGGGAACCGUGAGACAGGUGCUGCAUGGCUGUCGUCAGCUCGUGUUGUGAAAUGUUGGGUUAAGUCCCGCAACGAGCGCAACCCUUAUCCUUUGUUGCCAGCGGUCCGGCCGGGAACUCAAAGGAGACUGCCAGUGAUAAACUGGAGGAAGGUGGGGAUGACGUCAAGUCAUCAUGGCCCUUACGACCAGGGCUACACACGUGCUACAAUGGCGCAUACAAAGAGAAGCGACCUCGCGAGAGCAAGCGGACCUCAUAAAGUGCGUCGUAGUCCGGAUUGGAGUCUGCAACUCGACUCCAUGAAGUCGGAAUCGCUAGUAAUCGUGGAUCAGAAUGCCACGGUGAAUACGUUCCCGGGCCUUGUACACACCGCCCGUCACACCAUGGGAGUGGGUUGCAAAAGAAGUAGGUAGCUUAACCUUCGGGAGGGCGCUUACCACUUUGUGAUUCAUGACUGGGGUGAAGUCGUAACAAGGUAACCGUAGGGGAACCUGCGGUUGGAUCACCUCCUUACCUUAAAGAAGC
rnacentral:rRNA from 2 species